CAGUAACCGCGGGAAUACGAAGGGUGCAAGCGUUACUCGGAAUUACUGGGCGUAAAGCGUGCGUAGGUGGUGGUUUAAGUCCGUUGUGAAAGCCCUGGGCUCAACCUGGGAAUUGCAGUGGAUACUGGGUCACUAGAGUGUGGUAGAGGAUAGUGGAAUUUCCGGUGUAGCAGUGAAAUGCGUAGAGAUCGGAAGGAACAUCUGUGGCGAAGGCGACUAUCUGGGCCAACACUGACACUGAGGCACGAAAGCGUGGGGAGCAAACAGGAUUAGAUACCCCUGUAGUCCCUGUCUCUUAUAC
rnacentral:rRNA from 1 species